rnacentral:rRNA from 1 species
CCUACGGGAGGCUGCAGUGAGGAAUAUUGGUCAAUGGACGAGAGUCUGAACCAGCCAAGUAGCGUGCAGGAUGACGGCCCUAUGGGUUGUAAACUGCUUUUAUAAGGGAAUAAAGUGAGUCUCGUGAGACUUUUUGCAUGUACCUUAUGAAUAAGGACCGGCUAAUUCCGUGCCAGCAGCCGCGGUAAUACGGAAGGUCCGGGCGUUAUCCGGAUUUAUUGGGUUUAAAGGGAGCGUAGGCCGGAGAUUAAGCGUGUUGUGAAAUGUAGACGCUC